AAAUGAGAUGCAAAAAUAAGACAAAAUCAGGAAAGAGCUGUCAAACCCGGGAAAGAGAAAACUCUUCAGAACCUGAGUUGUUCUCAGAUAGAACCUCUGCUCUAUCCCCUUUCUCCAUCCCUGCAUGACUCAGCCGAAGAGGGAAAGUGGAAGGAGAAAGUUGACCUCUUGUCUCCUGCACUUGGCUCAACUGGAAGAAAGUCAGCAGAGAACCUAAAAGUCUACUGAGGUUUUAAUGACUUCCUCCAUCAUCUCACUUACUCUUCAGUGCUGACAUCAGUCAGACCACAGAAGAAUGGGAGUGCAUGUGCAGCCUCAGAGCUUUGACCUCAUGGACGACACAACUUCAAUUCCUGCCUCUCAAUGCAAGUCCCACUGGUUCUCAACACCUGGACUCUAGAUUCUUUUGGAAGUCAACUUUAAAAACUUACAUAGCUGUGAAACUUGAUAGUUUUUUUCCUAGAAAAUUGUGUAUUUGUAAGGAAAGAGUAUGUUUUCUAAUAUUAAGUCUGACUUCCAUUUCAGCCCUAAAUGUUCCAAAAUUUUGACGUAAUGAGCAGUCAAAGAGAUUAUAAGUCUUCAAUGAGAGGGCAUAUUCUAUGUAUGACAAUACAUAUGUAUGGAAAGAAAAAUAGUCUAGAGAUUCAUGUAGGGUCUUCUCCAUAAGUCUUUGACAAAACAUAAAUCUGUACAUGUAAAGUUAAAAACAUAUUAAGCCAAGUAAGUAAAAACUACCAGUAAUAGAAUAAAUUAAAUGUGAGAUGAAUAUUUUCA
rnacentral:lncRNA from 1 species